rnacentral:misc_RNA from 1 species
UCUCCGUUGGUGAACCAGCGGAGGGAUCAUUACAGAAUCUGGCAUUAACUAUGUCAUGGCUCUGCCAACCCCGCGAACUUUAUACAUGUACGUUGCCUCGGCGGACACUUGACCUUCUCCCGACCCACCCCGGCUCACCCGGGAGGAGGGUGGAGGCCAAGCCCGCCGGCCGGCAUAUACGCAAACGCUCUGAAUAAGCUCUGCGCUCCUUCUGAACAGAAAACUUUAACGAGUAAAAACUUUUGGCAACGGAUCUCUUGGCUCUG